UACGGAGGAUGCAAGCGUUAUCCGGAAUGAUUGGGCGUAAAGCGUCCGCAGGUGGCAAUGUAAGUCUGCUGUCAAAGCGUCUGGCUCAACCAGAUAAAGGCAGUGGAAACCACAUAGCUAGAGUAAGGUAGGGGUAGAGGGAAUUCCUGGUGUAGCGGUGAAAUGCGUAGAGAUCAGGAAGAACACCGGUGGCGAAAGCGCUCUGCUGGACCUUAACUGACACUGAGGGACGAAAGCUAGGGGAGCGAAUGGG
rnacentral:rRNA from 1 species